GCUUAAUGUUAACACUAAAGGUAUUGUUCGAUGUUUAACGGCGUUCUUUGUAUCUUAAAUGAGUCUGAUAAUAGCUAACACGGCUGGCUUUCGUUAACUUUCGAGCUAACGCAAACGACCUCGUUAACCAGGCUACUAACCUCUAGACCUGUACUUUGUGAGGUACAGGUACAGUGACUUUUAGUCGACGUAUAUGUUGUCCAAAAGCAAAGACUACGAAUUGUUUUCAACAAUUGGUUGGGUAAUAGCAUAGCCGACUCAAAGUCUGCUAUUUGGAAACUGUUAGGAGCUAGCAGCUAACAUUGCCUGCUACGUUACCUGAGGUAACUUUAAUCUUGUUUGACAGCUAGCUGCUAACGUUAACUGUCUGUCUAGCUAUUAUCUACUUUAACUAAACAUCUCUAUUGUGUGCCAUCCAUUAUCAUCACUUUUAUUCGAUGUAUGAAUUGUAAAAAACAACGUCUAUGAAUUAUGUCCGACGUCGGGUAGUACUCGUGAAUUCAGACAUUUGAUGAUAGUGGAACAUGGCUACACCAGACACGGCAGCACAUCGAACAUUCUAAAAAAAAAUACACCAGUAUUUUGCAUUUGACUAAUGUACCGGAGGCUGCAAGAAAACAAGUUAGUUUAUUGCUAGUUUAUUUAUGCUAAAAACACUACGUCAACGCCAAUGGGGUCGAAGUUCCACUAAUUUGAACUUGAACUAGGACGUACAUGACUAGGCCAGCAUGUAAGGUAGGCAAGAUGUUGCCAACAUAGACACCUUCAUAAGGCACACGGGCAAUGGACAACGGGAUGAUAAAACAUAAAAAAAAAGAAAAAAUAGACUUGUUGACUUGUAAUUUAAAAAUGUCUAGCCUAUCAACCUACUAGCACAAUUUGUUUCUGAUUCUGAUGUUACAGCAAACAAACUUAUUUCUAAGCUUGGCCCGAGUACAAGUCAUGCUAUUGAUACUACUUGAUCACACAGAUGAGAAGUUAGGUAAUUGUGUUGCAUUGUAAAGUUAUAGUAGUGGUCACAAUUUCACACAUUUUUCUUUAUUCACAACAGAAAACAAUAGUCUUUCUAAAGACUCAAUCACCAUCCUCCAUCACCACCUCCACUUGUGGUGUGGCAGUUUUUGCCAAAGAAAAAUAAUCUCAAGACUCAUUCUGUCUUUUGCGGUGCUGCAGACUUUUCAGGCUUGUUCCAGACCAGCUCUGCCAGAGUGGUGUCUCUGUCACGUGUGACACUGUGCCUGUCUGUCUGCACACCCUGCACUGCACUCAUAUACAACAGAACCCACUAACGCCUACCUGCAAACAUAUCUACGACAAGAACCGAACACUUCCUGAGAACAUAUUUGACUGCACAUACUCUACUCUGUACAUACUCUACUCUGUGCCAUUUUCAGACUAAAUAUUCCUUUGAAACUAACUGAAUACUCCUUUGAGACUUGAAUACUUUGAGAUUUGAUUACUCCUUUGAGACUUGAAUACUUAUUUGAGACUUGAAUACUUUGAGAUUUGAAUACUUUAAGAUUUGAUUACUGCUUUGAGACUUGAAUACUUUGAGAUUUGAAUACUUAUUUGAGACUUGAAUACUUUGAGAUUUGAUUACUCUUUUCAGACUUGAAUACUCAUUUGAAACUGAAUACUGUGAAUACUACUUUGAAUUAUACUGACACUCUGAAUCCCACUGUGAACCAGCAGCAUCCUGUAACAUACAGUACCUGCAAACAUAUUUCAGACAGUAAUUUACCACUUUCUGAGAGCACAUACUCUGAACUAUAUAAAGAUUCUGAAACAUACUAAGAAUUACCUGUGAACUAUUCGGAUAGAGAACUAUUACUGUGAACUUUACAAACCUCAACCAUUUAUAUAUUUGAAUAAUAUCUGUCAAAAGUUGUCUUUGCUGUUGCAUACCUACUUUUACAUCUGAGCUGUGCUGCAAGGCUGAACUUGGGGUGUGUGAGGACUUCAACUUGAGGGCUCCCUCUCAUUCUUCAUCGGUGUCAUCAAGUGCUCCCUCUACCUAACAGUUCCAGUGCCAUAUUUCAUAAUUUAAUCAAUAAUUAAACUAAAGUAAAUAUUUUGUGUAAA